rnacentral:rRNA from 1 species
GCGCGCAAAUUACCCCACUCCCGGCACGGGGAGGUAGUGACGAAAAUAUACGAUACGGGACUCAUCCGAGGCCCCGUAAUCGGAAUGAGCACACUUUAAAGACUUUAACGAGUAUCCAUUGGAGGGCAAGUCUGGUGCCAGCAGCCGCGGUAAUUCCAGCUCCAAUAGCGUAUAUUAAAGUUGCUGCGGUUAAAAAGCUCGUAGUUGGACUUGUGUCCCGCGCUGUCGGUUCACCGUUCGUCGGUGUCUAACUGGCAUGCCGCGCGGACGUCCUGCUGGUGGACGCAGUCGGCCGCGGGCCUCCGGUCCGCGCGUCGGCGGUCCGGUGCAAUCCUACCGCGGUGCUCUUCACCGAGUGUCGAGGUGGGCCAGCACGUUUACUUUGAACAAAUUAGAGUGCUUAAAGCAGGCAUGGGUUCGCCUGAAUACUGUGUGCAUGGAAUAAUGGAAUAGGACCUCGGUUCUAUUUCGUUGGUUUCCGGAACCCGAGGUAAUGAUUAAUAGGGACAGACGGGGGCAUUCGUAUUGCGACGUUAGAGGUGAAAUUCUUGGAUCGUCGCAAGACGAACCUAAGCGAAAGCAUUUGCCAUGAGUGUUUUCAUUAAUCAAGAACGAAAGUUAGAGGUUCGAAGGCGAUCAGAUACCGCCCUAGUUCUAACCAUAAACGAUGCCAGCCAGCGAUCCGCCGACGUUCCUAAGAUGACUCGGCGGGCAGCCCCCGGGAAACCAAAGCUUUUGGGUUCCGGGGGAAGUAUGGUUGCAAAGCUGAAACUUAAAGGAAUUGACGGAAGGGCACCACCAGGAGUGGAGCCUGCGGCUUAAUUUGACUCAACACGGGAAACCUCACCAGGCCCGGACACCGGAAGGAUUGACAGAUUGAGAGCUCUUUCUUGAUUCGG